rnacentral:rRNA from 1 species
UACGAAGGGUGCAAGCGUUACUCGGAAUCACUGGGCGUAAAGCGUGCGUAGGCGGUUCGUUAAGUCUGCUGUGAAAGCCCUGGGCUCAACCUGGGAACUGCAGUGGAUACUGGCGGACUAGAGUGUGAUAGAGGAUGGUGGAAUUCCCGGUGUAGCGGUGAAAUGCGUAGAGAUCGGGAGGAACACCAGUGGCGAAGGCGGCCAUCUGGAUCAGCACUGACGCUGAGGCACGAAAGCGUGGGGAGCAAACAGGG